CCCUGCCAUUUGUACACACCGCCCGUCGCUCCUACCGAUUUCGAGUGGUCCGGUGAACCUUCUGGACUGGGCUAGCAAUAGCUCGGGAAGUUAGGUAAACCUUAUCACUUAGAGGAAGGAGAAGUCGU
rnacentral:rRNA from 1 species